rnacentral:lncRNA from 1 species
CAAGAGUGGAAAUGAAAAAAAUUACCCACCUUUUCAUUUCCAUCAUUUUCUCAUGAUAAUUUUACAACCAAAGAGAACACACCCUUAAAUUGAAUUAGUACGCCUAUUUGUGCAUCGCAUGACGAAAGGCGUAAAUGAGCAUGAGCAAAUGUGAUUAUAUUUUAAUAAACACAUUAAAUCUAGACAGGUAAAUUUGAGCCUAAACAUGCAUAAUUGAGCCUCGAAAGAUGUAAAAAAGUCUGAUCAAGCGUAAUGAAGCCUUGCUUCGAAAGACGUGAUUGAGCAUAUGAAGGCGUAAGUAGGCCUGCAAAGACGUAAAUAAACCUGUAAAUGUGUAAAUAUGCCUGUGAAGGCGUACGUGAGCCUGUAAAAAAAUAAACAUUAAACAUGCAUGUAAGGCAUAAAUAGGAUUAAAAAGUUGUAAGUGAACCUUAGAAAGGCGUAGACAGGCCUGUAAAAGCGUAAAUAAGUCUGUGAAGGUGUAGGUUAGCCUGCAAAGGCGAAAGCAAACAUGUAAAGGUUUAGAUAAGCAUAUAAAGGCGCAAGCAAACCUGUAAAGGUUUAAAUAAGCCUAUAAAAGCGCAAGUAAACACGUAAAGGCUUAGAUAAACCUAUAAAGACGAAAGCGAACCUGUAAAAGUUUAUAUAAGCCUAUAAAGGCGAUAGCAAACUUGUAAAGUUUUAGAUAAGCUCAUGAAGGCGCAAGCAAACCUGUAAAGAUUUAGAUAAGCCUGUGAAGGCGAAAGCAAACCUGUAAAGGUUUAGAUAAGCUUGUGGAGGCAAAAACAAACGUGUAAAGGUUUAAAUAAGCCUAUGAAGUCGAAAGCAAACCUGUAAAGAUUUAAAUAAGC